GUUACAGUAAGUCAGCCAUCGUGUGACCAUGAAGUGGCAAGCAUUUGCCAAGGCAAGUUAAGCAGAAAGACAAAAGGAACCUGGGUCUUUGAUAUCAUAAAGGCAACCACGUUAUUGUCAGCUGUAUUAUGAGAAAAAUAAAAUCUUCGAUUGAUUCAAGCCACUGUUUUCAGCUUUUUAUUACGAAUAGCUAAAUAUAUUUCCAACUGAGGUACCAUCAGAAACUUACCUGGACAACUUUCUAUUAAUGACUGAAAAAGCAUGUGUCUUUCCAGUUUCCUUUACUUUGGUUAGAGUUGAAGACCCGACUCCGGCUAUAAAGAAACAAAACAAUGUAUACACCUCAAAGUGCUGAGUAUUAAUCAUUCAUUUCAAUAUGCCCAAUGGACCAAAAAAGGGGCAGAUGAGUAUGAAUGAUUCCCAAAAUAAAUAACCCUUAUUUUAUAAUUUGGCUAAAGAGUAGCUUUGUAUUUUCCCAGAAAAGAAGUUGGUGGGAAAAAAAAGAUAAUAUUUGAAUCUGUACUAUAAGCUAGAAACUUGGCUGAACAAUCUGACAUUUUCAUAUUUAAUGUUCAUGAAAAUCCAAUAAUGUAACCAUUCAUAUCUCCCUUUUUUGCAGAUAAGAAACUGAGGCUCAGAGAAAUCAAAUAUCUUGUCAAAAUCUACAUCAUUGAAGAGAUGGGUUUUAAAUCCAGGUCUGCUUGGCCCUUGCCACGACUUCAUAAUGAAAUUCCAUGGGUUUUACUCUUUCCUAUCAUGGAAAAGACUCAUGAUAUUUUCUACUUCAUAGGCUUGGAAAUAUUCUCAAUCACCAUAAAAUUCAGCCUUCCUCUGGUAACUCUGGAGACCCUCAGAGUUUUUCUUAUUUCCAGAGACAGGCGGUUUGGAUGAGAAUUAUUCUCUAUUUUCACACAAAUUGUCCAGAUGACAUCUUUACUGGUAUCUGAAAUAGAAACAGAAAACAACUUGGAGGACACAAAAUGUGAAGGUUGGAGAAAAAGCUUUGAAUUCAAACUGAAAUUAAAUUAUUUCUUUUGUUAAAAAUCACAGAGAAAACUAGUUUCCUAAAAAACUUAAGACUUUUAUUCAUAAGAUAAUUCUAAGAUAAUAAAGAAGCCAUGUAAAUAAAAUCUAUAAAAUUCAAAGAGAAAAUGAGAGAAAAACAAUAUCAUUGCAGAUCUUUAAAUCACAUUCUGCAAAAAUCAAAAAU
rnacentral:lncRNA from 1 species